rnacentral:rRNA from 1 species
CCUACGGGGGGCAGCAGUGAGGAAUAUUGGUCAAUGGACGAGAGUCUGAACCAGCCAAGUAGCGUGAAGGAUGACUGCCCUAUGGGUUGUAAACUUCUUUUAUAUGGGAAUAAAAUGUUCCACGUGUGGGAUUUUGUAUGUACCAUAUGAAUAAGGAUCGGCUAACUCCGUGCCAGCAGCCGCGGUAAUACGGAGGAUCCGAGCGUUAUCCGGAUUUAUUGGGUUUAAAGGGAGCGUAGGUGGAUUGUUAAGUCAGUUGUGAAAGUUUGCGGCUCAACCGUAAAAUUGCAGUUGAUACUGGCAGUCUUGAGUACAGUAGAGGUGGGCGGAAUUCGUGGUGUAGCGGUGAAAUGCUUAGAUAUCACGAAGAACUCCGAUUGCGAAGGCAGUUCACUGGACUGCAACUGACACUGAGGCUCGAAAGUGUGGGUAUCAAACAGGAUUAGAUACCCGAGUAGUC